rnacentral:rRNA from 1 species
UACGAAGGGGACUAGCGUUGCUCGGAAUCACUGGGCGUAAAGCGUACGUAGGCGGCUUUUUAAGUCAGGGGUGAAAUCCUGGAGCUCAACUCCAGAACUGCCUUUGAUACUGAGAGCUUGAGUCCGGGAGAGGUGAGUGGAACUGCGAGUGUAGAGGUGAAAUUCGUAGAUAUUCGCAAGAACACCAGUCGGCGGAAGGCGGAGCUCGACUGGC